rnacentral:rRNA from 1 species
UACGGAAGGGGCAAGCGUUGUUCGGAAUCAUUGGGCGUAAAGGGCGCGUAGGUGGUCGUGUGUGUCUACCGUGAAAGCGUACGGCUCAACCGUAUUGUGUCGGUAGAAACUGCAGGACUUAGGCUGGGAGGGGCUGGUGGAAUUCCCUGUGUAGCGGUGAAAUGCGUAGAGAUGGGGGAGAACACUCGUGGCGAAGGCGGCCAGCUGGACCAGUUCUGACACUGAGGCGCGAUAGCGUGGGGAGCAAACAGG